rnacentral:rRNA from 1 species
GACGUAGGGCGCGAGCGUUGUCCGGAUUUAUUGGGCGUAAAGAGCUCGUAGGCGGCUUGUCGCGUCGAAUGUGAAAACUCGGGGCUCACUCCGAGCUUGCAUUCGAUACGGGCAGGCUAGAGUUCGGUAGGGGAGACUGGAAUUCCUGGUGUAGCGGUGAAAUGCGCAGAUAUCAGGAGGAACACCGGUGGCGAAGGCGGGUCUCUGGGCCGAUACUGACGCUGAGGAGCGAAAGCGUGGGAGCGAACAGG